GGCUGUGCAUUUGGAUCGGAUAUUCGAAAUUUGAACCGAUCCGUUCAAUUUUGGAUUUCGGAUAUUUGGAUCGGAUUUCGGAUUAUGUUUAUUAAAAUUUCGGAUAUUCGGAUCGGAUUCAGAUUGUGUUGCUGAACUUGAAAGCGGGCCAGGAUUGAGUGGGAUGGCCAUAGAAGUUGGAACUUGAAACUCUUUUGUGUAAUCUGUUAAUGAAUUCCUGUUGAGGAUUUCAGUUUAUUAGACAUCUAUUUGGGAUUUAAGUUAAUUUUAUUUUGCUAUGAAUAUUGUGUUUUGUUUAUGUAAUGGAUUCUACCACAAGAAUUGGGAUUUGCACCUUUCCUUUUCUUCUGUGGAUUAGGGCUGAUAUUUUUACUGUGUUGCCUCUCAUCAGAUUUAAGUUUGGUCGGA